UAUAAGUAAAUCCAUACUUUAAAUUGUGUUCGUAAUAAACCUUUGAAUAUCCUUGAAAACCAAGGUGUUAUGUUACAUAAGUAAUUCCAUAUUUAAAAAUAGUUUUGAAAGCAACCAAGUCCAUGAUUGUUAGUGAGAGAGAGAAAGAGAGAGAGAUAUUCUAGUUAAUGUUUAUAGUGAGUCCGAUAACAAAGCUAUAUGACUUGAGUGUACCCCCUACAACGCUUCAUUUGACGUUGUAGUAAAAUCAGUAGACACCUAUCACCUGCUUCGAUUGCUCGGUCGAGGGUUGUAGCUAGCAACCGCAUGUGGCGAUGUCAACCCCGUAUAAAUAUAUACAUAUGUAUCUCGCUCCGAAGAUCAACGGUUACAGUAGUGUGGGUAGGCUAAGUGUUUAAGCUCAGCUAACGAAUUAUGUCUCACUAAAAAACCAUGAACUAAAAAGUUGGUGAAUAACUCUCAGCCCUAAUUUAAUAGUCACUAGGCAUAAUGAAUAUCGUUGUAUGAGGUUACAAAACCUGAGUAUGUUUGACAUCAUGGAAGUGUGGUGUGCUUGCUUUUAUAAAAACGAAUGUUUCAAAUUAAUGGACAUAGGUACAUGUAUAAAUGUUGUGUACUUAAACAUAUAAAUAAACAUGCAUAAUAAUAGCUUAAAUCCUUGAAAUACUACAUGGUUUCAUAAUGUGCUUGUUAUAAUUUGAAAUGUCACAUUAAAAUCAUAUAAUUUUGUAUCGUGUAGUAUUUGUUAUGUGAAAUGGUUAUUUCACGAUAAAAUAACCCUAAUACGUAUGCGGAAAUUUUUUACUAGUUUAUUCAUAACAAUCUGGUAAAUUGUUAAAUAAUAAUAUUUUUAUAAACUAGAUUUAUUGUAUUUUCGCAUCAAAAGGGAAUUGAUUUGUAUAAACAUAAUAUUUAGGCACAUGUAUUCCCCCUCGAAAGAAUUAAAAUAUUAAAAAGGGGUCAUAAACACUCACCCUUGAAGCGUGGGUUCGAGUUGUUCGAAUUCGGAUUCUUUUGAGAAACUUGUCAUGAGAAACCACAAAUCCACCAUUCUUGAACUUUGAAAUAUUUUUGAAACCGCUUCGUAACGAAUUUAAACUAUUGGGGGCUAUUUGGUAAUUUAAUUAACCAAAAUAUGAUUGCUUUGGUUAAAAUAAAUAAAUAGGGGGACUGAAAAGGUUUAAAUAGGUUUAAUGUUUCGAGUCUUCGACUGGUAUUGUUAAGAAAAUUCUAUGGAAGGGACUGUUUUGAAUAAAUGGGGUCAAGGUUUGUGGAUUGGGAUUGAUUUUUAAGAUAAAUAUGGCAGUAGGGGGUUCUUUUGUAAAUGUAUCAAAGUUGAAAGAAAAUUAGGGCUUAUAUGUAAAGAAAUAUCAUGGAAGGCUUAUUAGGUUUAAUGGCCAAACUUUAAUUAAUCUAGGGCUUUUAUGCCCCGUCGUCAUCAGUUGCUUGAUCAAAAGAAGAGUCUUGAACGAAAUCGACGACGAUCUGAAAGGAACACGACGGCAGACGAGGGAAACACAAAAUCAGGUGAGGGGUCCGAUGGUUGCUGGUCAAUCGCAGGUGGAGGAUAGAUAGGCCGCUCCCCGGCGAUCUUGUGGUUUAAUCGUUGUCAUUUGUUUGAGCGGGUAAAGAAAAGGAACGAGAACGAACAAUCGAUGGGUCGAAAGGUAGCACGAAGGUUCGUCGCCCGACUCGCCCUCGGUGAUGGCCUCCGGCGCUCGAUUAGACUGAAGAAGGAGAAGGAUCGAAGCAGCGAGGCGGCUAUGAUCUCGGACGAGAAGGAAGAGACGAAGCAGCGGGACUGAUCGUCUUCUGUCUUGGAAGUAGUUGCGAAGGGGAAAGAGGUCCGAUGGGGGUCUGGGAGGCGUCGCGAGCAGCAGUAGCGACGAUGACGGGGUGUUCGGUUGGUUUGCUCGACGGGAGGGGAAGAGGACUGCGAGGGUUCGGUGUGUCUGCUGCUUCGAUCGGUUUCAAGUUCUCUCUUUUUUUUUUGAGAUUUUUUUUCUUUUUUUUUUUGUUUGAUAGAAAUCAUUGGGGUGUUUGGGUUUUCCUGGAAAAUCGAUGAUAAUGAAGGGGAUAUGGGUUUAAUUUUUGACAGAAAUCCAUGUGUGUUUGGAUUGGGUGUUUGAGCUUUGGUAUUUUGACAGGGAAAAUGAAGAAUAUCAGGGUUCUUCUCUUUGUUGAUGAUGUUUGAUCUUGGUUGGAUACGAAGAAGAAGACAGAAAGAAGAAAUAUGGAGUAGUUUGCGUGUUGAUUCUUUUUAUCAUUGUAUUGAUUGUUCAUUUUGACAUUGUACAGCGAAUACCAUGCGGAAGCCUUCCUCCUUUUUUUCAGCGGAAGUCCGGGUCCGGGUUCGAGUUCUUUUACAUGGCAAACCCUUAUCCCUUUUUAAUGGGAUUCCAAUGGGAGUCGAACUCCCCACCUCCCUCAAAGGUUAUAAGCCCUAAACCUCUUUUCCAACUGAACUGGGCUGGGCUUCGUUUACAUGUUAUCAUAUCUUUUGAUUGUAAUUUUUUUCUAAGCUCACCAUGUACAAGAUUUGAUACCAAAUGACUAUGGAUACCAAAAACUCAAAUCCACCAAGUUCAUUA